rnacentral:rRNA from 1 species
ACGGGUGAGUAACGCGUGGGAACGUGCCUUCUGGUUCGGAAUAACUCAGGGAAACUUGAGCUAAUACCGGAUACGCCCUUUUGGGGAAAGGUUUACUGCCGGAAGAUCGGCCCGCGUCUGAUUAGCUAGUUGGUGGGGUAACGGCCUACCAAGGCGACGAUCAGUAGCUGGUCUGAGAGGAUGAUCAGCCACACUGGGACUGAGACACGGCCCAGACUCCUACGGGAGGCAGCAGUGGGGAAUAUUGGACAAUGGGCGCAAGCCUGAUCCAGCCAUGCCGCGUGAGUGAUGAAGGCCUUAGGGUUGUAAAGCUCUUUUAUCCGGGACGUUAAUGACGGUACCGGAGGAAUAAGCCCCGGCUAACUUCGUGCCAGCAGCCGCGGUAAUACGAAGGGGGCUAGCGUUGCUCGGAAUCACUGGGCGUAAAGGGCGCGUAGGCGGUCUUUUAAGUCGGGGGUGAAAGCCUGUGGCUCAACCACAGAAUUGCCUUCGAUACUGGGAGACUUGAGUUCGGAAGAGGUUGGUGGAACUGCGAGU